AUUAGCUCAGAUACAGUGUUUACUUCCAACUUAAGUUUUUCUUUGUAGCAACUGAUAGACAUCCUCAACUUCCCUGACUCGGCUCUCACUUCUAACUUAGAGGGUUUAAUGGGAUGGUUUAAGUCUAAGGAAGAUGUCCCCAUGGUGCUCACAGCCAAAUUUGCCUAAUUCAUUGCUGUUGCUCUGAGGUCAGCCACCAGCUACCAAAUCUUGCAAAUUUGCAAAGAAUUGAAAAAAUCUCUGGAGAAGAAAGUCAAGGAAAAUAAAUGUGUCCUCCCAUGGCCCUUGCUCACUCGAUCUGACAAGUGUAGAUUAUGUUGUUUGAAAUACUUUCCAGUCUGCCAAGAAGUGUCCCCUAGUGGAGUCUAUGGAGGGAAUAAAGUCCUUGAA
rnacentral:lncRNA from 1 species